rnacentral:rRNA from 1 species
CUACGGGUGGCAGCAGUGAGGAAUAUUGCACAAUGGGGGGAACCCUGAUGCAGCAACGCCGCGUGGAGGAUGACGCAUUUCGGUGUGUAAACUCCUUUUAUAUGUCAAGAAAAUGACGGUAGCAUAUGAAUAAGCACCGGCUAACUCCGUGCCAGCAGCCGCGGUAAUACGGAGGGUGCAAGCGUUACUCGGAAUCACUGGGCGUAAAGGACGCGUAGGCGGGUUGGAAAGUCAGGUGUGAAAUCCUACAGCUUAACUGUAGAACUGCACUUGAAACUUCUAAUCUAGAGUAUGGGAGGGGGGGAUGGAAUUAGUGGUGUAGGGGUAAGAUCCGUAGAUAUCACUAGGAAUACCUAAAGCGAAGGCGAUCUCCUGGAACAUUACUGACGCUAAGGCGUGAAAGCGUGGGGAGCAAACAGGAUUAGAUACCCGAGUAGUC